UAUAACUCUUGAGAGAUGAAUGAGUUCAAUUUGGGAAUUAAGGUGGUAACGCGAGCUUUUCGUCCUU
rnacentral:sRNA from 1 species